GCUGUUACUUAACUUCAAAACUUUGCAUGGCCCACAGGCCAGACAGCGUGCAUGAUCACAGCGUAUGAUUUUUAAAAAUUCUUUCAUUUGAGCAUUUUUUUGAUGAGGAACAGUACUAGCAUGGCUCAGAAAGACAGAGACAGGAACUGGUGGACAGUGCACAUGGAGCUGAGAGCUUCGUUUCCUGUGUUCCUUAUCUUCGUUGGAAUGUUUCACAUCUUUGCUGUUAGAAGUCUCUGGUCCCAUAUUCCUUCCCGCAUUCCUUCAGAGGUCAAGGGUAUCCUCGAGGGUAGAGAGAAACUGACUUUUAGGGCAGUAAGACUGCAGAUUGCAGAGCUGACGGAAGAGCACACAGCGAGGGCGGGGCUUACCUCUCGGGCUGCUGCAGAGUUCCCAGAAACUAGUUUCACUUUCAGCUGCUCUGAGUAAUGGGCAUGGUCUCAGCCCGGAGUACAGUUUUCCCUUUCAUGCAUCCUUAACAAAGAACUAGCGUUUUCCACCAAGCCUCUUGUAACAUACCCAGCUAGCAAAGGCUCUUGCUAACUAACCCGUGUUUACUUGCUUGCGCUGGCGACCAAGCCGUAAUUAACGAUGCUGUAAUUAACAAUGCCGGUCUUGUUAUCAGAGUCUCCCGGGAACACUGUGAGCGGACUCGCCUGCUGAAAUGAGUUGAACCUCUCUGGAUACAUCGUCACCGGUAAACCCAGAGGUGGGCCUCCUAGGCCCAAAUCCAGUCAACUGGACAAUGAAGAUCACCCAUCACAUAUAUAUUUGGACUUAUUCCGACUAUUCCUGUGUUGUCUUUUGCACUACUUUCUUGGUUUAUUUCUUUAUUGAUUUGUCUGCUCCAUUGAAUCCUUUUCUCUGAGUUUUGUGUUGUAUUACAAGUUCUGUGCCAAUUCU